UAUAGUAUUCUUCCUAUCAUCGUACUAUGGUAUAUGCUACACAAUAAAUACAACAAAUUUUAUUGCCAGAACAGCAGGGCCUUCUAGUGGUUUGGAGAUGACUAUUAACCUAGAAACGUACGAAGCUGUCCAUUUAUCUGAAGGCUACGGCUUGGUAUUGGUGUUGCAUGGAGAGAACCAAUUGGUAGUUCCAGAGAAUGACGGAAUUGUUUUAUCUGGUGGAACAGAAACUCACGUUAAAAUGAAAUUGACACAGAUAAACCGACAAGGUUAUCCUUACAGUGAUUGUGCGAACACCUUAGAAAAUGGAAAGCCGUAUUCAUUUCAAGAAUGUCUACAAACAUGUUUCGCCAGUAUGUACAAACAAAUUUGCUUUUGUGUUUUAUCAACAGUUGGAUAUGGGUUUGACAACAAUUUUUCGUUUUAUGGAUAUUGUCGAAACAGUG